rnacentral:rRNA from 1 species
UCUAGAGUAUNGGAGAGGAAAGUGGAAUUCCUAGUGUAGCGGUGAAAUGCGUAGAUAUUAGGAAGAACACCAGUGGCGAAGGCGACUUUCUGGACGAAAACUGACGNUGAGGCGCGAAAGCCAGGGGAGCGAACGGGAUUAGAUACCCCGGUAGUCCUGGCCGUGAACGAUGGGUACUAGGUGUAGGAGGUAUCGACCCCUUCUGCGCCGGAGUUAACGCAAUAAGUACCCCGCCUGGGGAGUACGACCGCAAGGUUGAAACUCAAAGGAAUUGACGGGGGCCCGCACAAGCGGUGGAGUAUGUGGUUUAAUUCGACGCAACGCGAAGAAUCUUACCAGGUCUUGACAUUGAUGGACAGAACUAGAGAUAGUUCCUCUUCUUCGGAAGCCAGAAAACAGGUGGUGCACGGUUGUCGUCAGCUCGUGUCGUGAGAUGUUGGGUUAAGUCCCGCAACGAGCGCAACCCCUAUCUUAUGUUGCCAGCACGCAAAGGUGGGAACUCAUGAGAGACUGCCGCAGACAAUGCGGAGGAAGGCGGGGAUGACGUCAAAUCAUCAUGCCCCUUAUGACCUGGGCUACACACGUACUACAAUGGGAGUUAAUAGACGGAAGCGAGAUCGCGAGAUGGAGCAAACCCGAGAAACACUCUCUCAGUUCGGAUCGUAGGCUGCAACUCGCCUACG